rnacentral:lncRNA from 1 species
CCCACAUCACUUUUCUUGCCCUCCCCUCCCCCAGUUUCCCAUUUGGAAGAUUCUGAUGUGUAUAAUGUAUUUCGAUCAUAUUUCUCUCCCUUUCUAUAGGAAUCUUAACAAAUGUUCCUGCAGGGUCCAGGGUUUUAUGUCAAGGAUAUUUUGAACACGUCUCAGCGCUGUCUGGCUGCAUUCCAUGUCCCCUUCUCCCAGUGUAUGGACCUAUCGACCAGAAAGGCCCCUGCCAGAGCAUAUUGUGCUGGGCUGUCACGGGUGGCAGAAACUGCUGGCCUCUCUUUCCACGACCCACAGGACACAUUUGCACCUCCAGCAUUUUCCGCACAAAGCGUGCAUGAUAGCAACACCCGAGUGUGGUUCCGAAACUGUUUGCUACGCUGCUUUAAAAUUCAUCUUUCUCUUUGGCCUCUGGAAGUCCAGUGAGAGAUCUGAAACUUCCUCCUGUCUGCGUUUGCAUGUAGUAAUGUUGGGGGAACUGAAUGAUAUUGAAAAUUCCAGAAAUGAGGAGAAACAGACUAAAACCACUCAGUACUUGAAGAGGGAGUCAAGUGCUUUAGGUAAGUCUCUGGUUAGACAGAACUCUAGAAAGCUCCACCUGAGAAAGGGGACAUAUUUACCCUUGUAGGGGCUACACUGCUGCACUCAUAGCCUCCAAAUUGCACAGCUCCUCUGCACUCAGUGGCUUUAAUUAAGCCAAA